AGAGUUUGAUCCUGGCUCAGGAUGAACGCUAGCUACAGGCUUAACACAUGCAAGUCGAGGGGCAGCAUGGUCUUAGCUUGCUAAGGCCGAUGGCGACCGGCGCACGGGUGAGUAACACGUAUCCAACCUGCCGUCUACUCUUGGACAGCCUUCUGAAAGGAAGAUUAAUACAAGAUGGCAUCAUGAGUCCGCAUGUUCACAUGAUUAAAGGUAUUCCGGUAGACGAUGGGGAUGCGUUCCAUUAGAUAGUAGGCGGGGUAACGGCCCACCUAGUCUUCGAUGGAUAGGGGUUCUGAGAGGAAGGUCCCCCACAUUGGAACUGAGACACGGUCCAAACUCCUACGGGAGGCAGCAGUGAGGAAUAUUGGUCAAUGGGCGAGAGCCUGAACCAGCCAAGUAGCGUGAAGGAUGACUGCCCUAUGGGUUGUAAACUUCUUUUAUAAAGGAAUAAAGUCGGGUAUGGAUACCCGUUUGCAUGUACUUUAUGAAUAAGGAUCGGCUAACUCCGUGCCAGCAGCCGCGGUAAUACGGAGGAUCCGAGCGUUAUCCGGAUUUAUUGGGUUUAAAGGGAGCGUAGAUGGAUGUUUAAGUCAGUUGUGAAAGUUUGCGGCUCAACCGUAAAAUUGCAGUUGAUACUGGAUAUCUUGAGUGCAGUUGAGGCAGGCGGAAUUCGUGGUGUAGCGGUGAAAUGCUUAGAUAUCACGAAGAACUCCGAUUGCGAAGGCAGCCUGCUAAGCUGCAACUGACAUUGAGGCUCGAAAGUGUGGGUAUCAAACAGGAUUAGAUACCCUGGUAGUCCACACGGUAAACGAUGAAUACUCGCUGUUUGCGAUAUACUGCAAGCGGCCAAGCGAAAGCGUUAAGUAUUCCACCUGGGGAGUACGCCGGCAACGGUGAAACUCAAAGGAAUUGACGGGGGCCCGCACAAGCGGAGGAACAUGUGGUUCAAUUCGAUGAUACGCGAGGAACCUUACCCGGGCUUAAAUUGCAGAUGAAUUACGGUGAAAGCCGUAAGCCGCAAGGCAUCUGUGAAGGUGCUGCAUGGUUGUCGUCAGCUCGUGCCGUGAGGUGUCGGCUUAAGUGCCAUAACGAGCGCAACCCUUGUUGUCAGUUACUAACAGGUUCCGCUGAGGACUCUGACAAGACUGCCAUCGUAAGAUGUGAGGAAGGUGGGGAUGACGUCAAAUCAGCACGGUCCUUACGUCCGGGGCUACACACGUGUUACAAUGGGGGGUACAGAGGGCCGCUACCACGCGAGUGGAUGCCAAUCCCCAAAACCUCUCUCAGUUCGGACUGGAGUCUGCAACCCGACUCCACGAAGCUGGAUUCGCUAGUAAUCGCGCAUCAGCCACGGCGCGGUGAAUACGUUCCCGGGCCUUGUACACACCGCCCGUCAAGCCAUGGGAGCCGGGGGUACCUGAAGUGCGUAACCGCGAGGAGCGCCCUAGGGUAAAACUGGUGACUGGGGCUAAGUCGUAACAAGGUAGCC
rnacentral:rRNA from 1 species